rnacentral:tRNA from 1 species
GCCUUCUUGGUGUAACGGUAGCACACUCGCUGCGUAUUCGAGAAGUGUAGGUUCGAAUCCUGGUGAGGGCA